GCGCCCCGGGGUUGGGCGGUGGAGCUCGGGCGCUCGGGGCUCCGCCCGGGCUGGCGGCCGAGGGCGGAGGCAACGGGACCGGCGGCCGCCGCUUGUGCUCAGCUAACGGGGGAGCGCGGUCCUUUUGUGAUGUCUGGAAACUUUCCGCUUAGUCAUGGAUAAUAAAAUCAGGCCUCUGUAACUAGAGAUCUUCGUCCCACGAUUGAUGCAAAAACCAAGACAACCAACUAAAGAAGACUGAUUAAAGAUAGCAUGGAGAAAAGACACCGCUUAUAUGAUGGAAUUUUAUCUGAUUCUGUAGAUAAAAAUUCUUUAUUCUGGAUAUCAUAACAGUACAGGAAGCUUACAGCUUGUUUUUUGUUUGU